UGCUAUUUAUUUUUAAUUUUUAAUAACAGGUUAUAAUGUAAGCAUGGCUAUCAUUAUAUUGACAAAUACAUAUUCCUUCUCUAACUGCCUCUCAAAGCUUCCACUUAAAAAUGAACAUGAAGAAAAACAAGAAUUAAAGUGACAAAGAAUCUAUAGCUACUGUCUUGUAAUGUCAUAUACUUUGUAUACGUGUCUAUAUCCGGAGAAAAGUAACCAAUGCUCAGCACAGCAGCUUCCCCGACAUCCUUUUAUCUCUCCAAAUCCCAUUUUGCACAGCUUAAGCAAUAACAUCACUUCAGAUAAGCUUGACGCUGAAAAGGAUCAAGGGCGAAAUCAAAAUAGCUGUGAUGAUGAAGAUGAGUCUCCUGAUUUGAUGCCUAUUCCUUUCGGCUACGCUGGGAGAAAUUCAAGAGUUUGCAAUGAAUUUGAGUGUAGCAAAUGCUUGGAAAAAGAGGGUUUGCUUUAGUUGUCAAGGUACGUAAUAAAUUGGACGACUGUCUCUAUGCGAUCA